rnacentral:rRNA from 1 species
AUUGAACGCUGGCGGAAUGCUUUACACAUGCAAGUCGAACGGCAGCACGGGUGCUUGCACCUGGUGGCGAGUGGCGAACGGGUGAGUAAUAUAUCGGAACGUAUCCAAUAAUGGGGGAUAACUAAUCGAAAGGUUGGCUAAUACCGCAUACGCCCUACGGGGGAAAGCUAGGGACCUUCGGGCCUGGCGUUAAUGGAGCGGCCGAUAUCGGAUUAGCUAGUUGGUGGGGUAAUGGCCUACCAAGGCGACGAUCAGUAGCUGGUCUGAGAGGACGACCAGCCACACUGGAACUGAGACACGGUCCAGACUCCUACGGGAGGCAGCAGUGGGGAAUUUUGGACAAUGGGCGCAAGCCUGAUCCAGCCAUUCCGCGUGAGUGAAGAAGGCCUUCGGGUUGUAAAGCUCUUUCGCAAGGGAAGAAAACUUAUCCUCUAACAUAGGAUGAGGUUAACGGUACCUUGAUAAGAAGCACCGGCUAACUACGUGCCAGCAGCCGCCGUAACAC